GCUAUACGUUUGGGUCAAAAGAGGCAGCAGCAGAUCGACCAAUUAGGAUGCUUCUAGAAUGUCUAGCAGGUAGUGGAAGGCAAUCGGUAUUAGGUGUAGCCGAUUGGGAGGAAUGCAGGUUCCGGAGGUGAUGAUCCAAGCGACUUGAUGUGGUAACACGUGGAGUAGCAAGUGAGGUGGAAGCAGUAACAAUAAAAAUGCAGCAAAAGCAGAAGCAGAGGAUAAGCAGAAAGGUACAGGAAGGCCUAAAAAUGGGGACCACACAUGAGGUUCGACAUGGCUGUCAAUUUUAUGGCAUUUUUGUGUGGAUCGGGUAUGUUAGGAGGGACCAUCUUAACGGUAUCAUAUCUGUGUAGUAUGUAUAUUUAUGUAUGAUUUUUAAAUAAAUUAUUUUAUGAAACUA